UCUUCGGACUCCUUCAACGGUCUCAUUUCGUCAGUCUUCAGGAUCGGUUUGGUAAAUUAGCAUGCUGACAUGCUCUGUCGACGGUGCUGCUUAAUUCAGUAAUGAAGGAAAUGACAGGCCCAACAUUUGGCUAUCUUGAGUUGAGCCAGAAGCUGUUCCAUGUGGGAAGAGCUUAAUAUGAAGAUGUAUAAUUCAAGCUCAAACUCAGCUUCAAGGGGCAACUAAGUUGCCCUGAAUACCCAAGAGUUCCUGAGCGUAUGGUCAUUGGCCUUGUGAUGUCUACCAAAUGGCCACAAGGUGGCUCUCAAGCCCAGAUGCACAACGUCCCUUUGGCCUGUUGUAUCGUGUGCCAUGGGCUCUGAGAUGGUAAUGAUUUAAGUACACCAGGACUGGUCUUUUGAUGUUCCAGUACACCAGAACUUGGCUGAAUGAUUUAUCUCCAGUGAAGGUUGUUCAUCCCUGGCCUACUGAAAUGACCAGAGUGAUCUGUUUCAGCCCUGCAUGCACCUAUCAAGUUAAGAAACAUUUGAAGAAAUUGACAUGAUGAAUGCUUUCUCCAAGAUUUAAUUUAAAAUGCAUUUAAGAUGUAGCUCAAUCUGACCUGUUGUGCUUCUGAUAAUUUCAAUAAAAUGGUUGGUAAUGUAAUU